GAACGCUGGCGGCGUGCCUAACACAUGCAAGUCGUGCGAGAAAGUUCCUUCGGGAGCGAGUAAAGCGGCGCACGGGUGAGUAACACGUAGGUAACCUGCCCCCCAGUCUGGAACAACUAGAGGAAACUCUAGCUAAUGCCGGAUGAGACCACGAUCCCUUCGGGGGUUGCGGCCAAAGAUGGCCUCUACUUGUAAGCUAUCGCUGAGGGAUGGGCCUGCGGGCCAUUAGCUUGUUGGUGAGGUAACGGCUCACCAAGGCUGUGAUGGCUAGCUGGUCUGAGAGGAUGACCAGCCACACUGGGACUGAGACACGGCCCAGACUCCUACGGGAGGCAGCAGUGGGGAAUAUUGCGCAAUGGGCGAAAGCCUGACGCAGCGACGCCGCGUGGGUGAUGAAGGCCUUCGGGUCGUAAAGCCCUGUCGCAGGGGAAAAAUAAGCAUCGGUAUAAUACGCCGGUGCCCUGACGGUACCCUGCAAGAAAGCACCGGCUAACUCCGUG
rnacentral:rRNA from 1 species